GACGAACCGCGAGGCUUGGAGGAAGGAGAAGUCGUAACAAGGUAUCCGUAGGUGAACCUGCGGAUGGAUCCAUCG
rnacentral:rRNA from 1 species